rnacentral:rRNA from 1 species
AUUGAACGCUGGCGGAAUGCUUUACACAUGCAAGUCGAACGGUAGAGGGGGCAACCCCUUGAGAGUGGCGAACGGGUGAGUAAUAUAUCGGAACGUGCCCAGUCGUGGGGAUAACGUAGCGAAAGUUACGCUAAUACCGCAUACGAUCUACGGAUGAAAGCGGGGGACUCGCAAGAGCCUCGCGCGAUUGGAGCGGCCGAUAUCAGAUUAGGUAGUUGGUGGGGUAAAGGCUCACCAAGCCAACGAUCUGUAGCUGGUCUGAGAGGACGACCAGCCACACUGGAACGGAGACACGGUCCAGACUCCUACGGGAGGCAGCAGUGGGGAAUUUUGGACAAUGGGCGCGAAGACCUGGAUCCAGCAAUGCCGCGUGCAGGGAUGAAGGCCUUCGGUUGGUAACU